UACGUAGGGACCAAGCGUUGUCCGGAAUCAUUGGGCGUAAAGAGCGUGUAGGCGGCUUGUUAAGUCUUGCGUGAAAUCUCGGGGCUCAACCCCGAGCGGUCGUGAGAAACUGGCAGGCUAGAGUGCGGGAGAGGAGAGUGGAAUUCCUGGUGUAGCGGUGAAAUGCGCAGAUAUCAGGAGGAACACCUGUGGCGAAGGCGGCUCGCUGGGCCGGUCCUGACGCUGAGACGCGAAGGCGUGGGGAGCGAACGGG
rnacentral:rRNA from 1 species